rnacentral:rRNA from 1 species
UACGUAGGGUGCAAGCGUUAAUCGGAAUUACUGGGCGUAAAGCGUGCGCAGGCGGUUUUGUAAGACAGAUGUGAAAUGCCCGGGCUUAACCUGGGAACUGCAUUUGUGACUGCAAGGCUAGAGUGUGUCAGAGGGGGGUAGAAUUCCACGUGUGGCAGUGAAAUGCGUAGAUAUGUGGAGGAACACCGAUGGCGAAGGCAGCCCCCUGGGUCAAGAUUGACGCUCAUGCACGAAAGCGUGGGGAGCAAACAGG